rnacentral:rRNA from 1 species
CAGCCGCCGCGGUAAUACGUAGGGUGCGAGCGUUAAUCGGAAUUACUGGGCGUAAAGCGUGCGCAGGCGGUUAUGUAAGACAGUUGUGAAAUCCCCGGGCUCAACCUGGGAACUGCAUCUGUGACUGCAUAGCUAGAGUACGGUAGAGGGGGAUGGAAUUCCGCGUGUAGCAGUGAAAUGCGUAGAUAUGCGGAGGAACACCGAUGGCGAAGGCAAUCCCCUGGACCUGUACUGACGCUCAUGCACGAAAGCGUGGGGAGCAAACAGGAUUAGAUACCCGCGUAGUCCCUGUCUCUUAUAC